CUUUUUGAUAGAUUUUUUUCCCUUGUGCUUUGGUGAGUCAUUAAUGCUUUACUUACGUUUCUUUGUGUUGAACAGCUCUGUGGAAGAACCUGAGCAUCUCUCUCUUGAAGAAUCUGAACCAUCAGACUAGGUCCCGUCUUCUAGUUACAAAACAUCUGAACCACCUAGCAAGAGGCAUCACCCCUCUAGUCAUCAAAAUUUCGAGCAUCCUUUGUCCAUAAGUUUCUCCAUGCUCUUUAAAUUUAUGAGAGGAUUGAUAUCACAUUAUUCUCUUUCCUUGCUCUCUAAACUUCGUGGUUCCAUUUUUGUUACCAGUCAUAUGCUUAGUAGAGCACUUCACUGUAUUAUUUUUAUCAAUCACAACGAUUUUCAAACUCGGUAAACCUGUAUGGAAAAGAUGAUUUUUAGUGGUUGCUAGGGCUUGCUAAUAUGCCAUUGUCAUUCUUUAGUGGCAAUAUAUCAUAUAAGCAUAUUGCUCCUUAGAAGUCUGUUCUAUGAACAUUGCUCCUUUAGGAUCACUGCCUUUGAUAACACAUGGCCCUUUUUGUGUAUCCACGACACCUAGGCUGGUUGUCUGUUUUUUGCAGGACUUUCAUGGCUUCACCCCCUACUCCAACAAUGUACUGCUGCACUCCCUUGCGAUGCCACCGCUAUAUUCCACUUCUUUUUGUUAGUAUACUUCCUUUUUGUUGUGGAUUAAUAGAUUAAUGUGUAUUUUACAUUGAUGCAAGCUUUAUUAUUCCACGAUUCAUGUCUUAUUUAAGAUUCGCUCAUGAAGCCUGACCAGCUCCUUUUCAUCUGCCCUUUAUAUUUAUCUCUUGAUUACUUUGCUUCCUAGACAGUUUCAGUCUUAUUUCAUGCUUUUAAAUUCCUUCCUCCUUUUCGAUUGCUCAGCAAUUCGAACAUCAAUUGACACAUUUGCUUCUGCUACAUCUGGGCUGCUGCCCAGAUGAAGAAUAAAUUAAUUAUCUUAUUCUCUUAUCACUGUCAUGAAGCACUCGCUUUUUUAACAACAAUUGACACAUUUUCUUCAGCUACAUCUGGGCUGCUGCCCUGAUGAAGAACAAAUUAAUUAUCUUCAUCUCUUAUCACUGUCAUGAAACACUCACUUUUUGAACGACGAUUCACGCAUUUGCUUUUGUUGCCCCUUGCCAUGAUCCAUGUUUCUUUAUUAUUCCAUUGCUAUUGGACACUGUGGAAUAUGGAACAUGUUUUUUUCAUAGCCAUUGUUGCUUAGAUUGCAGUGUUGAUGAAUGUUGCUUUCGAUUUUUAACUGUAGCAACACUUUGGUCCCUUGGUUCAUAUCUAUUACGCUCCAGGAAACUUUAUGGAAGUUGGUUCGUUCACUUUUUGUGUGGCCUUGGGUCCUUUUGCUUGGCACCAACACAAUUCUCUUCUGUUAUUUAACAAAUUAUGUGUAGCUUAGCAGCCAUUUUUGCUGCUUCAGGAACACCAAACUCCCUUCUCAAAAAAUUGCAUCCAUUUGCAUUUUGCAAUUAUGUCAUUAUGCUUUAAACUCAUUCUAUGUGCCUUUCCUUACCAAAAACAAAAUGGUUAUUUUCUGUCUUCACUGGAUUAGAUUCUAUCGUAGAUUUUUUUUGCUUGGUGCAAGACUCUUGAUAGUAUGAAAUCUUCAAGGUAAAAAAAGAAAAAGAGGAGGAGAAUGUUAUUCACACGUACAUACCAUGUUAAUGUGGGGUUUGCUUUUGAUAUUUUGUUUUUAAAUUUAAUCUCAAUUAACAUGUAAAUUGACCUAAAUACAUCUUCCACCAUUGAGAAAAUUAGAAACUA